AGUGAACGCUGGCGGUAGGCCUAACACAUGCAAGUCGAACGGCAGCACAGUAAGAGCUUGCUCUUACGGGUGGCGAGUGGCGGACGGGUGAGGAAUACAUCGGAAUCUACUUUUUCGUGGGGGAUAACGUAGGGAAACUUACGCUAAUACCGCAUACGACCUACGGGUGAAAGCAGGGGAUCUUCGGACCUUGCGCGAUUGAAUGAGCCGAUGUCGGAUUAGCUAGUUGGCGGGGUAAAGGCCCACCAAGGCGACGAUCCGUAGCUGGUCUGAGAGGAUGAUCAGCCACACUGGAACUGAGACACGGUCCAGACUCCUACGGGAGGCAGCAGUGGGGAAUAUUGGACAAUGGGCGCAAGCCUGAUCCAGCCAUACCGCGUGGGUGAAGAAGGCCUUCGGGUUGUAAAGCCCUUUUAGUGGGAAAGAAAAGCAGCAGGUUAAUACCCCGCUGUUCUGACGGUACCCAAAGAAUAAGCACCGGCUAACUUCGUG
rnacentral:rRNA from 1 species